ACCCCCGACCCCUCAGGUGCGCCGCCUCUGCCAUCGUCACCGGCUCACCGUGGAGAGAGAAAGAGAGUGCUGACGAUGGCAACGACGGCCCAAACGGAUUGCCAAGCACAUCAUGCAAAGUGGAGCCGCUCGGAUCUCUGCCCUUCUAGACCGAGUCUCCAAACCUCGCACGAAAAGAAGGGAUCAUGGCGAUGGCGGCGGCCGGAGUCACUUCCUCCAUCAUCGACAGGUCUGUGUACCUCUCCUCCAUCCGUGCAUCCCCUGUUUUCUAUGAAUUGCUUUCUCGAUCUGGUCUCGGAAGACGAUGUAUGUGAGCCUGCUGCCGCUGCCCCCACGAAGGAAGAGGCGCCCUGAGAGGUUGUCGAGGCCGAAAGCGGCCAGAAGAGAAAGCUCGAGGAGGUCGAUGCGGUCGUGCAGGCGAACGGCGCCGGGAAGGACGCCAACCAACCGUGCGUGGAAGGCAACGUGCAGGUUAAUCUUUCCAUCACCCCACCCCUCUAUAUCCAAGACUUGGUAAUGCUGAUGACCGUUCUGAACAUAUGAGCAGGGACAACGUGAACCUGAAAAACAAAUAAGAAAAUGAGCAUGUACGCUAUUAUGAAAUUUGCAACCCAAACUUAUUAAAGAAUGGAGAUCUCACCUCAUCCACAAGGAGCAAUCCCCGCUCCCUGUUAUAUUAUCAGGGUCAAUUUCGGCUGAUGCUAAUGCCUACAUGGACAAUAUAUACUUGGUUUGCAAACAGCCUGACUGACUGCUGAUUUGGUUGGACCCACAAAUUCGUUCAUGUUACUGGCAAACAGAAGAUGCGAUUUCUGGAACCUUUGGAAUCUUUAGAAGCCAUGUAAUAUGACGACUGCUGUUUUCGAAGCUAUGGCACAACACUAGGACAAUAUUACAUUUUUCUUAUACGAUGCAAAGAAAAUGGCUCUGAUAACAAACAAAUGCUCUACAGAUCCACAAGGCCCGCCACGUGGCAGGCACUAAAUUCACAUAGUUUUACUCAUCGAGUACUUAUUGUGAAGGCAGUAUCACUUUGCCAGAAGAAGCUGUGAGGUUCCUCAGAUCCCCGAUAUAGCUUAUGUUCUAGUUAUGCUAGCAGAGAGUUGAAGCUAUCGAAGUAUACUGAAGAGAUGUGAAAUUUACAUCAAAUGGUUCAAGAACUAGCAUCUAAGGCAGCGGAGCUACAGCCUACACUUCUUGUCGUGCUCCCUGUGACCCGCCUACUCAUCUUGAUCCGAAAAUCAAGGGACACACGCAUGGAUGCUGCAGUGGAGCAUGAAGUCAUAGACGCACUACAUUAGAGUUAAGAACUCUUGGCACAAGACUUGAAAAGGCAUCCUAUCCUGAAUCUCUUCCUAUGAUAUAUGUGAAUUGACAAAGUAUGUCUUUUUAAGAUUUAGAUCAAUUCUCACGGAAUACUACAUGGAUGUAAAUUUUGUAGUCAUCAAGAAGUUGUCCAUCAACCAAAUACUUAACUUAUUAGGAUGCUUACAUGAAGAACGCAGAAUGCACACAAAUUAUAUGUUGUAUGACAUAGAUAAUACUACAUCAACCUUAUUGGGUCUAUGAAGUGUUUUUCAGUAAGUUGUCCUUGCAAAAUGAUAGUUUGCAUCCCCAGUUUGUGACCUUAUUUACUAUCACACAUUUUACGUAUUGGGUUCGUGGAAGAUGAGACACUGGCAUGUGUUUCCUUCUCCUCGCCCAUGAUCUUGCUAGGAGCAUCAUCGCAACCAUUGCCUAUGGAUCGGCGCCACUCCCUGUUGGCCAUGGCUCCACCAUAAUCUUUGCCUGCUUUAUGAGUCGACGACCAAGCAUGACACCUUCCUCAGGCAACGACAUCCUCCUGUAUUGACGCAAUCGACUCAAUCCUUGACAACGACCUCGCCUCCUCUAUGUCCCCAUAGGUUAGAUAAGCUUCCUCCUGCACUCAACAAGCACUUUCUUGUGUCUCACAUUCGGUCUUAUACUCUUCUGCAAACAAAACCUAUUCCAGUCCAUAUGCCACAUAGCUGCUAGAACUAAAGCAACUAUGCAGAAUUCUGAAGGAUUUACCGAUGUACUUGUAUUUUUUGCUUGAAAUCAUAUGAUCAAUUAAGUUCAGUACUAAAACCUUCAAGCAUUAAUUAUUCGACUCCAUUUAAUGUAUCUUGUGC